rnacentral:rRNA from 1 species
UUUAUCGGAGAGUUUGAUCCUGGCUCAGGACGAACGCUGGCGGCGUGCCUAAUACAUGCAAGUCGAGCGGACAGAUGGGAGCUUGCUCCCUGAUGUUAGCGGCGGACGGGUGAGUAACACGUGGGUAACCUGCCUGUAAGACUGGGAUAACUCCGGGAAACCGGGGCUA